rnacentral:rRNA from 1 species
GCGGCAUGGAUUAGGCAUGCAAGUCGAGCGAGAAGGGUUUUGAAGCUUGCUUUAGAACCCGGAAAGCGGCGCAAGGGAGAGUGACGAGUAGUUAUCUACCCCAAGGCCCGGAAUAGCUGCGGGAAACUGCAGGUAAUGCCGGAUAAUAUCCCCGGAUCAAAGGUGUGAUUCCGCCUUGGGAGGAGACUGCUUUGUACUAGCUAGUUGGUAGGGUAAUGGCCUACCAAGGCUACGAUGCAUAGCGGGCGUGAGAGCGUGGCCCGUCUCACUGGGACUGAAACACUGCCCAGACACCUACGGGUGGCUGCAGUCGAGAAUCUUCGGCAAUGGGCGAAAGCCUGACCGAGCGAUGCCGCGUGCGGGAUGAAGGCCCUCGGGUUGUAAACCGCUGUCGUAGAGGAGAAAGGUCUGAUGAAGAAUCAGAUUUGAUCUAUUCUAGGAGGAAGUCGGGGCUAAGUUCGUGCCAGCCGCCGCAGUAA